UCUUUUUAUGUCUUUUCUCGCUUAAAAUAAGUUCACAAACUGUCACUAUUGCUUCUACAUCAUCAUCCGUGUUUGUUAUUCUAAAUUCAUGUAUGGUAUGUUGGGGGUUUUACGGGAUUUUCUUCUGGAAUCAGAAUGUUUGUGAGUGAA